rnacentral:rRNA from 1 species
AACGAACGCUGGCGGCAGGCUUAACACAUGCAAGUCGAGCGCCCGCAAGGGAGCGGCAGACGGGUGAGUAACGCGUGGGAAUCUACCCAGUUCUACGGAAUAACCCAGGGAAACUUGGACUAAUACCGUAUACGCCCUACGGGGGAAAGAUUUAUCGGAAUUGGAUGAGCCCGCGUUGGAUUAGCUAGUUGGUGAGGUAAUGGCUCACCAAGGCGACGAUCCAUAGCUGGUCUGAGAGGAUGAUCAGCCACACUGGGACUGAGACACGGCCCAGACUCCUACGGGAGGCAGCAGUGGGGAAUAUUGGACAAUGGGCGCAAGCCUGAUCCAGCCAUGCCGCGUGAGUGAUGAAGGCCUUAGGGUUGUAAAGCUCUUUCAGUGGGGAAGAUAAUGACGGUACCCACAGAAGAAGCCCCGGCUAACUUCGUGCCAGCAGCCGCCGUAAAAC